UACGUAGGGCGCAAGCGUUGUCCGGAAUUAUUGGGCGUAAAGAGCUCGUAGGCGGUCUGUCGCGUCCGUUGUGAAAACUCGAGGCUCAACCUCGGGCUUGCAGUGGAUACGGGCAGACUAGAGUGCGGUAGGGGAGACUGGAAUUCCUGGUGUAGCGGUGGAAUGCGCAGAUAUCAGGAGGAACACCGGUGGCGAAGGCGGGUCUCUGGGCCGAGUGACUGACGCUGGAGGAGCGAAAGCGUGGGGAGCGAACAGG
rnacentral:rRNA from 1 species